rnacentral:misc_RNA from 1 species
AGAAAUUGAAGAACUCAAGAAAGCUUCUUUGCUUCUGGCUGCUGAUGUCAUUUACAGUGAUGAUCUGACUGAUGCAUUCUUUAGCAUCUUGAAGAAAUUAAUGUUAGACAACCCGGAGAAGGUGCUAUACUUGGCUAUGGAAAAGCGUUACAAUUUCACCCUUGAUGAUCUUGAUGUUGUUGCUAAUGGAUAUUCACACUUCCGUAGUUACCUGAUCACAGAACAAGAUGACGCAGGAUGUAAGCAGCUAGAUGGUGCAUCCAGGCCCUUGUUUGUUGGUGAACAGAUUGAUUUGAGAUACAUUCCAUGUUAUGUGCGGAAUUACAAUAGAGGGGAUGACGUCGAGCUUUGGAAAAUUAAAGUAAAAUCAUAGAGCACUCUUCUGAAUUCCGUAAACACCUUUUAUUGAUAACAUUCAUCUUCAGUUGCUAUGAACUUGAAAUUCAUAUUCAUGCUCUAUUAUCAUCACCUGUCAAUUUGUAAAAUAGAUUGGUAGACCUGCAAGUGGCUUGUUCAUGUGGAGAAAGGGAAAAAAGCACCAAGCAAGAAAUUUGCAGGUAUAAUAAGAAUAGUAGGGG